UACUCGCUCAAGACGCUUCUCCUCGACACUUCCGCUUUAAAAAACCAAUACUGUGUCGAACAGAACUGUUCAAACUCCAUUUAGAGAAAACAGAGGAGAAGGAAGUUAAAUAAACAGCAAGAAAAAGAGGAAAAGUUGAGAGGCUGGACAACAGACAAAAACGACCGGACAAAAACCCGGAUCAUACGCUGGGACUGGACAGUAGCGCUGGAACGUUGGUCAUGAAAACACAGACAAUCCAGCAGGGUGCUACGGCAUGAGGUGGUGCUUAAAUGCAGGUAGAAAGUGUGAAUCCAGCAGCAUGAACCAGUUUGAGGACAGAGAUGAGGGAGCCCCUCCCUCUAAAAUCAGAAGAAUGGAGAUAAAGAGAAAAGCUCAGAGGUGAUGAUUCUGUCUCCAAGUCACAGACACAUCACUGAUUUACUGUUACUGCUCAUUUAGGACUCAAUGUGUGAGAGUCACUG